UCAGACAUCUAUGACCACUGAACUCCCCUGACUCAUCUGAACAUGGAAGCAAAGCAGAGUCUGGCCAAAUUAGUAACUGCAUGGGAGACAACCUGGGAAUAUCAGGUGCUGUAGGCA
ensembl:rRNA 5S_rRNA 5S ribosomal RNA